rnacentral:rRNA from 1 species
UGGCGCACGGGUGAGUAACGCGUGGAUAAUCUACCCAUUGGUUCGGAAUAACAGUUGGAAACGACUGAUAAUACUGGAUAAUAUGGCAACGUUAAAGGUGGCCUCUGCUUGCAAGCUACUGCCAAUGGAUGAGUCCGCGUCUCAUUAGCUAGACGGUAGGGUAACGGCCUACCGUGGCAACGAUGAGUAGCAGGCCUGAGAGGGUGGCCUGCCACACUGGGACUGGAACACGGCCCAGACUCCUACGGGAGGCAGCAGUGGGGAAUAUUGCGCAAUGGGGGAAACCCUGACGCAGCGACGCCGCGUGGAGGAUGAAGGUUUUCGGAUCGUAAACUCCUGUCAGAAGGGAAGAAACCUGCAAAAAGUAAUAUGUUUUGCAGCUGACGGUACCUUCAGAGGAAGCACCGGCUAAUUCCGUGCCAGCAGCCGCGGUAAUACGGAAGGUGCAAGCGUUAAUCGGAAUCACUGGGCGUAAAGCGCUCGUAGGUGGCUUUGUAAGUCAGGUGUGAAAGCCCACGGCUCAACCGUGGAAUUGCACUUGAUACUGCAUUGCUUGAGUUCGGGAGAGGGUAGUGGAAUUCCAGGUGUAGGAGUGAAAUCCGUAGAGAUCUGGAGGAACACCAGUGGCGAAGGCGACUACCUGGACCGAUACUGACACUGAGGAGCGAAAGCGUGGGGAGCAAACAGGAUUAGAUACCCUGGUAGUCCACGCUGUAAACGAUGGAUACUAGGUGUCGGGGGCUUGACCUUCGGUGCCGUAGCUAACGCGUUAA